GAUGAAGAACGCAGCGAAAUGCGAUAAGUAAUGUGAAUUGCAGAAUUCAGUGAAUCAUCGAAUCUUUGAACGCACAUUGCGCCCCUUGGUAUUCCGAGGGGCAUGCCUGUUCGAGCGUCAUUAUAACCCCUCAAGCUCAGCUUGGUGUUGGGGCCUGCUGCACUGGCAGCCCUUAAAAUCAGUGGCGGCGCCAUCUGGCUCUAAGCGUAGUAAUUCUUCCCGCUAUGGAGUCCUGGUGGAUGCUUGCCAUCAACCCCCAAUUUUUCUAUGGUUGACCUCGGAUCAGGUAGGGAUACCCGCUGAACUUAAGCAUAUCAAUAAGCGGAGGA
rnacentral:misc_RNA from 1 species